rnacentral:ncRNA from 1 species
GCUGACUCAGAGCAAAGCCGCCGAAAGGCGGUGUCGCAGAGCUGCGGGGCUACCGCGAGACGCUUCGCUAAGCCAGCCGGGCCGCCAGC